GAGGCUCAUAACCAAUGUGCUCGGCCGCGGUGAAAACCGGCAGGUCGUCAAGACGCCGUGAAUACGUCCUUGUCGGCUCGUUCCGCGCUAUCCUUGGCGCGGACGCUCG
rnacentral:ncRNA from 1 species